rnacentral:rRNA from 1 species
GAUUAAGUUAUUAAGGGCGCACGGUGGAUGCCUUGGCACUAGAAGCCGAUGAAGGACGUUACUAACGACGAUAUGCUUUGGGUAGCUGUAAGUAAGCGUUGAUCCAGAGAUUUCCGAAUGGGGGAACCCAGCAUGAGUUAUGUCAUGUUAUCGACAUGUGAAUUCAUAGCAUGUCAGAAGGCAGACCCGGAGAACUGAAACAUCUUAGUACCCGGAGGAAGAGAAAGAAAAAUCGAUUCCCUGAGUAGCGGCGAGCGAAACGGGAAGAGCCCAAACCAACAAGCUUGCUUGUUGGGGUUGUAGGACACUCUAUACGGAGUUACAAAAGAACAUGUUAGACGAAUCAUCUGGAAAGAUGAAUCAAAGAAGGUAAUAAUCCUGUAGUCGAAAACAUAUUCUCUCUUGAGUGGAUCCUGAGUACGACGGAGCACGUGAAAUUCCGUCGGAAUCUGGGAGGACCAUCUCCUAAGGCUAAAUACUCUCUAGUGACCGAUAGUGAACCAGUACCGUGAGGGAAAGGUGAAAAGUACCCCGGAAGGGGAGUGAAAGAGAACUUGAAACCGUGUGCUUACAAGUAGUCAGAGCCCGUUAAUGGGUGAUGGCGUGCCUUUUGUAGAAUGAACCGGCGAGUUACGAUCUGAUGCAAGGUUAAGCAGCAAAUGUGGAGUCGCAGCGAAAGCGAGUCUGAAUAGGGCGUUGAGUAUUUGGUCGUAGACCCGAAACCAGGUGAUCUACCCUUGGUCAGGUUGAAGUUCAGGUAACACUGAAUGGAGGACCGAACCGACUUACGUUGAAAAGUGAGCGGAUGAACUGAGGGUAGCGGAGAAAUUCCAAUCGAACUUGGAGAUAGCUGGUUCUCUCCGAAAUAGCUUUAGGGCUAGCCUCAAGUGAUGAUUAUUGGAGGUAGAGCACUGUUUGGACGAGGGGCCCCUCUCGGGUUACCGAAUUCAGACAAACUCCGAAUGCCAAUUAAUUUAACUUGGGAGUCAGAACAUGGGUGAUAAGGUCCGUGUUCGAAAGGGAAACAGCCCAGACCACCAGCUAAGGUCCCAAAAUAUAUGUUAAGUGGAAAAGGAUGUGGCGUUGCCCAGACAACUAGGAUGUUGGCUUAGAAGCAGCCAUCAUUUAAAGAGUGCGUAAUAGCUCACUAGUCGAGUGACACUGCGCCGAAAAUGUACCGGGGCUAAACAUAUUACCGAAGCUGUGGAUUGUCCUUUGGACAAUGGUAGGAGAGCGUUCUAAGGGCGUCGAAGCAUGAUCGCAAGGACAUGUGGAGCGCUUAGAAGUGAGAAUGCCGGUGUGAGUAGCGAAAGACGGGUGAGAAUCCCGUCCACCGAUUGACUAAGGUUUCCAGAGGAAGGCUCGUCCGCUCUGGGUUAGUCGGGUCCUAAGCUGAGGCCGACAGGCGUAGGCGAUGGAUAACAGGUUGAUAUUCCUGUACCACCUAGUAUCGUUUUAAUCGAUGGGGGGACGCAGUAGGAUAGGCGAAGCGUGCUGUUGGAGUGCACGUCCAAGCAGUAAGGCUGAGUGUUAGGCAAAUCCGGCACUCAUAAGGCUGAGCUGUGAUGGGGAGAGGAAAUUGUUUCCUCGAGUCGUUGAUUUCACACUGCCGAGAAAAGCCUCUAGAUAGAUAACAGGUGCCCGUACCGCAAACCGACACAGGUAGUCAAGAUGAGAAUUCUAAGGUGAGCGAGCGAACUCUCGUUAAGGAACUCGGCAAAAUGACCCCGUAACUUCGGGAGAAGGGGUGCUCUUUAGGGUUCACGCCCAGAAGAGCCGCAGUGAAUAGGCCCAAGCGACUGUUUAUCAAAAACACAGGUCUCUGCUAAACCGUAAGGUGAUGUAUAGGGGCUGACGCCUGCCCGGUGCUGGAAGGUUAAGAGGAGUGGUUAGCUUCUGCGAAGCUACGAAUCGAAGCCCCAGUAAACGGCGGCCGUAACUAUAACGGUCCUAAGGUAGCGAAAUUCCUUGUCGGGUAAGUUCCGACCCGCACGAAAGGCGUAACGAUUUGGGCACUGUCUCAACGAGAGACUCGGUGAAAUCAUAGUACCUGUGAAGAUGCAGGUUACCCGCGACAGGACGGAAAGACCCCGUGGAGCUUUACUGUAGCCUGAUAUUGAAAUUCGGCACAGCUUGUACAGGAUAGGUAGGAGCCUUUGAAACGUGAGCGCUAGCUUACGUGGAGGCGUUGGUGGGAUACUACCCUAGCUGUGUUGGCUUUCUAACCCGCACCACUUAUCGUGGUGGGAGACAGUGUCAGGCGGGCAGUUUGACUGGGGCGGUCGCCUCCUAAAAGGUAACGGAGGCGCUCAAAGGUUCCCUCAGAAUGGUUGGAAAUCAUUCAUAGAGUGUAAAGGCAUAAGGGAGCUUGACUGCGAGACCUACAAGUCGAGCAGGGUCGAAAGACGGACUUAGUGAUCCGGUGGUUCCGCAUGGAAGGGCCAUCGCUCAACGGAUAAAAGCUACCCCGGGGAUAACAGGCUUAUCUCCCCCAAGAGUUCACAUCGACGGGGAGGUUUGGCACCUCGAUGUCGGCUCAUCGCAUCCUGGGGCUGUAGUCGGUCCCAAGGGUUGGGCUGUUCGCCCAUUAAAGCGGUACGCGAGCUGGGUUCAGAACGUCGUGAGACAGUUCGGUCCCUAUCCGUCGUGGGCGUAGGAAAUUUGAGAGGAGCUGUCCUUAGUACGAGAGGACCGGGAUGGACAUACCUCUGGUGUACCAGUUGUCGUGCCAACGGCAUAGCUGGGUAGCUAUGUAUGGACGGGAUAAGUGCUGAAAGCAUCUAAGCAUGAAGCCCCCCUCAAGAUGAGAUUUCCCAACUUCGGUUAUAAGAUCCCUCGAAGAUGACGAGGUUAAUAGGUUCGAGGUGGAAGCGUGGUGACACGUGGAGCUGACGAAUACUAAUCGAUCGAAGACUUAAUCAAUUUUUAAAA